UGCUCUGUUUGACCCGCAUUAAUUAAUAAUAUCUGAUUUAAAAAUAUUUUUGGGAGGUCCAAAGAAAUAUUGAAAUCUCAUGGUACCGAGUAUUGAUGCAGAGAACGCAGAAUGGUACAGAAAUAGAAGUGUCACUGGUCUAUUUAUAAACUGGCUACCUAGUUUUGAAAGUCUAACUCUACGCUAUCACUAGCCGUAGAAAGUAGGUUAGAUUACAACUGUUAAAGAACUGUUAUCGUUCGAGAUAAUACUGACAGCGGUAUAUUACUUCGUAGGAAUUAAGGAGUCAUAUAAUGUACUCAGAACGAAUCUCUUCUGUGACACACCUUCCUAAAUUGUUUCGAAUUUAAAGAUAAUACGAUAAGUAAAGUUGGUAUAGAUAAAAUAUUGAAUGUUUAAAUCCGUAACGCGCGCAGUACUGUUGCAUCAUUGUUGGUUGCGGGAGCACGAAACACAAACAUUCCCUGAGGUGGAACGACCGGGGCCUUUGUUUUGAAGCGAGCUUAAAAGAUCAAGUGACAUGUGAACGCAACACAGCACAAUGGGUCUCUCGACGAACUGUUGGAAAUAUUUAGUGUUAACUUUUAAUGUAUUAUUCGCUAUGUCAGCUGUGGUGCUGUUCGGAGCGAGUGGAUUUUUGUUGUACAAACUUUUUAUAUACAGACAUUUUAUUGGUGUGAAUGUGGAGUAUCCCGCGAUUCUAUUAUUGAUGAUGGCGAUCAUAACAUGUUCUAUAGCAUGGAUAGGAUGGAGGACGGCUGUAUCAUUGCACCAGAUUCACAUUAUCAUAACCGGAAUCCUAAUAGUACUAGUGGUGAUCAUAGAGUUCACUUGCUUUGUGUGGGCUAUGGUGGUGUGGGACAAUGUGGAGAUAGACGUGAAAACUACCAUGACGCAGUUCUUCGAAGACACCAGGGGUGCUGAUGCAAAUUCCGCUGAGUCCUUAAAAUGGGAUCGGUUACAUGUAAAGUUCGAAUGCUGUGGGGUCACAGGGCCAAAUGAUUACGCGACAUCAGGCCACGUACCGUUCUCUUGUUGUGGCCAAGGUCCUCUCGAUUCCCUACACAAGCCCUACGCAUCAGAAUGCGCCGCGUUAUAUCUCAGGGGGUGCGGAAAGCAGUUACACGAAUACACAAGGCAACAGUUGAUGCUUGUGUCCAUGACAGCAUUAUGUGCUUCUAUAAUACAGAGCACCGGGAUAUUCUGCACGUUCUUCUUAGCGCAUGCCAUUAGGCAAAGUCGACGAGCGUCCAUCAGGAAUUCUACUGCAUUGAGGGAAUCAACAUUUGCAGCAGCGGAUGACUCGCUUCUGUCCCCUACAGCUCCUGCGCCGACCCUGCCAAAGUAUUAGUUUUUUUGUAGGACAUAUUUACUCUUUAGAAUUUUUUAGAAGUUAGAAUUUCGGUAACGUACGGUCUUAACUAUAGUUUAAUUGGUAAGCAAUAAUUUAGUAAUUCCUAAUCAGAUUUUUAUAGCUGCAAUACCAAUUUAAUGUUCUAUUGUCAAUAUUCGGUUGGAAAUUUAGUGAACUGAAUAUCGCCAAAAUACACUGUUGCCAAAAACACGUUAUCAUUAAUUUUGGAUGUAAAACUUCAUGGUAAGAAUGUUCAAUUUCACUGUUGAAUUACAGUAAUGCCAACUUAAAAAUACUCAAGCUUAUUACGAGACUGCAUUUGAUAGUGACAUUUUUGAUUUAAUGUUGUUUUUUUUUAAUAAGUACGAGUAUAUAAUCUGUAAUAUGGGGAUAAGACAGCUGUAGGAAUGAGCCUUAGUUAAAUCUGUGUCUCGGAUGUUACAUGGAUAUGAUUUCAGGUCACGUAAUAUUUAUGGAAUAUUUUUAUUAGUUAUAGUAUGUCUUGUGAGCCCGUAUUGGUAGGUACCACAACCCUGCCUAUUUUGGUAGCAGUUUUACUAUAGGAUUGAGAUUUAAAAACAAGUGUGUCAAUGUUUCUUUUAAAACGUUUUAAAUUUUUGGUGAUUUGCAUAGAUGAUAGAUAAUUCGAAUUUUUCAAUUCCCUAAAUAUGUUUAAGUCUUGAAAGUUUAUAUAGCGCGAUCAAAUUUUGUCAUUAGAAGUAUUUUUGUUUGCAUUAAGAUUAUUGUUUUGUUGAAUCCAUAAAUUAAAAAUUUUAAAUGUGAUUUUACGGUUGUGUUUCAUUACUUUUCGUUGUAUUUGUUUCAUUUAGUUUAUUUAUUCUAAUAAAAAUUAUCAGUACUUUGUAUACUGUAUUUUGGACACUUUUAUACCUGUACGACAAAUAAAUAAAUAAACAAUUUAAGUAAAGUU